CCCCUGAUCAUGGAUGUCCAUGAGGAGGCCUCUGAACUCUAGGGGACCCCUGGAUUCUGAAAAUGGCCUUAUAUAAGAUAAAUAUCUGACAACUGAAACCUUCAGAAUGUCAACUGUUUUUGUCUUGAGACAUAAGUCUCCAGAGCUCAAUUCUAGGAUGUUUCCAGUCUUCCAGAUAGCAUGAUACUCAUACACACAUGUGAACAGGAGGUGAACUACAUCAUUCCUCUAUUUUAUGGAUUUUCUUCUUUCUAAUGUGCCUUCUUCCCUCACCAGUUAUAGCCUACAGUGUUUAUGAAAGAAAUUUGCUGGCUUCCAUGAACCAUCCAGCAAUAUUGAAAUAGUAAACACAAGGAAUACAUUCAUAAAUGUACAUAUAAAUUAAUCAAGUAGAGGAGGCCAAAUAUUUACUGAGAAAAAUGUAAAAAAAAAACCACAUAAAAUAAAGAUGUCCACUCUCUGAACACAAUCACUAUUAUAUUAUUAACAUAUAAAAAUUUUACCAAAUAUUGGUAUUCCUUAGUUUGUUGUUCUUAUAAAUAUUAUUUAUAGAAGCUAUCCAU
rnacentral:lncRNA from 1 species